CUUCCAUCUAUCUCAAGAUAAGGGGCAGAAGCGUAAUAAAUAAUCGCAUGGUAGAACACGUACUUGGGGAAUACGCUUCAUCCAUGGGUUUACGAACAGAUAAUAAUACGCUAGCACUCUCCUCUCCUCUCCUCUUCUUCCCCCGGGAGACUCCGCCGCCGUUUAUCGCCUCGGCGGCGCGGAAUCCUCUCUCUUGGUUCGCAAAUGGCAGCCGCACGGGGUAGCUUAUAGGGAUCUUCUUGGGAGUUACCCUGGUUGACUGGUCCGCUCAUUCAUCGAAUCAACGCAUCCUGCGCCGUCGCCUCGCCUGUUCUUCAAUUUGCCGCCGGCGCCGGCUUCGGCUUGGCCAUGGUGCUCCGGCCUCACGGGAGUUCUUGCUGAAUGUUUAUCAUGGAAUCAGGAUAAUCAUCCAAGACAAGAUCCCAAGAGCAAGCGGUUGUCAUAGCUUUAGGGAGCAAUGUAGGUCACAGAAUCAGUAACUUUAUACAUCCCUACAGCUCAUGAGAGAUUCAUGCAUUAUCAUUACACCACAUGCCUGCUUGUAUAAAACUGCACUUGCAUGUGUCACUGAUGAACCAUUGUUUCAAAACUCCGUUGUUAAGAGGGACAAUAAAGCUUGGACCACAUGAAUUACUCAGGAAGCUGCUAAGAUAUGGGCCACAUUAAACAAAGCUUGAGACAGCAAAGAAAUUGAGAAGGAGUUGGGCCACUGAUGGAAUAAGAUAUAGUCCUGGGCCAAUUGAUUUGGAUAUUAUUUUCUAUGGUAAGCACCAGAUAAAGAAAUGGUGAAAGAAUAGUUCACUUUGUGCUCAACAUCACAGUUGCAUAUGGUUAGCGCUAGACAAACUCUGAAGUUUUGAUAGACAUGAGAGGCUAUUGUUAUGGCUCUGGUGAUGAGUCUUCCAAGUUUGAAUACUGAAACUGAUAUUGGUGCAAGUUGGCAUCCACUCUCAAAAUGCAGAGAUGUCUUCGAACUCUUGGAGAAUCUUGGACGACAGCCCUUGAUUAAAAGGCAAAUACUAAGACGGGGUUGCCCAUCGGUAGUGCGUUGUUUGAUUGGCAAAGAGAAGUUUCAUAGCCUCAUGGGUAUACUUAAUAUGAACCUGAUAGUUCAAGUGAUCGAGCGAAGUUUCAAGAAGUAGACGAUGCUAUUCUCAGGUCAAGUUGCUAUUAUGUGAUGAUGCCCCUUGCAUAGUAAUACAUCUGAGAGAGGAUCCCUCCACAAUACAUGUUAUCAAAUUUUGAAUUAAGGAGAUGUUUGCAAGCAGGUGGCCAUGGAACGAUACUCAAGGGUGUAAUGGCACAGAAAUGACACACCUCCCUUUGUGGAGAAUGAUUGUUGACACCGGAAUUGGUUUCUCAAAAGGUUCUGAAUGUUUCUCAAAAGAUGAGUAAAAGAAGCAUCGGUGCUUCACAAGUGCCAAUGUUAGUUGAAUGACCAUCCAUGAAAAUAUUUCUAGGUGAAAUAUGUGACCACACCGAUCCCAUCGAAAGAAUUUCAGCUCAUGCUGCCUCAUCUGCAACAUUGGUUGGUCAACAUAAUCAAAGUGCACAAUGCCAGAUUUGGUGUUGGUUCUGCAAAAAUAUGUGACACGUUGCUAAAGCAGAGUAAAACUUUGGACUUUCUAAUAACAAGAUUAAGCAUAAGAUCUUUUGAAUUUUUCAUGAAAUCCAGAAUAUAAUCCAAAUCAAUUCAAGUGUAGGAGUUCAUGUCACUAAGAGACUAAAUAAAAAUGAGGUGAUCUUGAGCUAUCCUCUGCAAUCGAGCUUUACCCUGCUAUUUUGAUUGGCAUUCUUCUAAAUUGAAUUCAAUGUGCUGUCUACCUGCUCAACAUAUAAACAUAUUCAACAACAAAAUUAAAUACAUGUGUUUGUAUUUCUUUUAGCUUUUUCUACAGAUCCAUUAUUGUACUCUCUUAUGUUAGCAUUCCUUGUGUUCCUUAGAUUUGCUCUGUUUGAGUGAACUUUUGCCUUAAAUCUCACCAAAAUACUAAUCACCCAUUCCUGCUUGGAUGAAAAUUAUUCCAUAUUGCUAGAUAUGAACUCUGCACUCUUUUACUUCUGCCCAUGUGUAAUGGUGUAUGUCUUGCUCCGUGCACAAUGUCAGUCCAGUCAGUGAUUCCCAAAUCCAAUAGUCUGGGGAAUAUGCAAUGCAUCUGCGAAGUCUUGUACUUGUUUCAUCACAUGGGAUGCCAUCAUGGCAGUGUGCCAGUGUGUGUACAUCAUCUGAGAACUGAGAUAGUAGAGAGGAAAGUGAGAGAGGCACAUGUACUUGGCAUAUGCUUUCUUCUGUUCAACCAUGUACCAGUUCUUGAGUACAGUGUCACGCUUGUUCAUGCAACGUGUGUCUGUCUCUACCUGUAGCUACUUCUGAUCAUUUAUGUUGUGUUGCAAAGAUAUGUACUGCCAGAAACUCUAUUCUGUCAGUGCACUACAGAGUGGAGUGUAGCAAUAUGCAUGUGGCUUUGUUGCUGCAUCUCCGUCAAUCUGUGCAUACAUGACUGCUGUAAUCAGUAUUUUUUUUUUCUCUUUAGUUGUUUUCUUGUGAAUGUGAAAGCAUCUAUCUAAUCCAGGCAUUGCAGUUGGCAAUUUAUUGAGGUUUGCAAAACAAUGUUUUUGAGUUAUAUUUCAGUUGGAGUUACACCUGUUGGUUUCAGAACCGUGCAUUGAUUCUGGACACUGCACUUCAGGUGGAAGAGUAUGUUAUAUACAUUAUGCUCACUUGGUCUUACAAGCUUUAUUACAUUAACUUAUUGUAGUAGUAAUUAAAGUGCAAAACUGUUUCAAAUAGAUAUAGUUGAUAGCUCAUGUCCCAUGGAAGUUUAUUUCCAUUUUCAGGUUUAUUUUUUCAUUGUGACAAUUGAGCAUAAUGAACUUCAAGGGCUUAUUAAUCUUGCCACAAAAUAACUUGACAGGCUACUUUUAUUCCAAUAUACAACUCACCUGAGCUGUGUAGUCUUAUUUUAGACAUUUCAUGGUGAUAAAGAACGCCAUUGAUCUGAAUUGGGGGUAUCUUCCAGAAUAAAGGGUGUUUUUUUUUAAAACGAAGAAGAAAAGCUAUAACAGCACCACAAAAAAGAUGUUUUGGUAGUAAUGUUUAUGAAAAAUGUGACUUAGCAGAACUACUAGUUUGGAAUUGGUACUACAAGUUAACAGAACUGCAUUGUGUUUUUUGUAUCAUUUCAUUCUUUACUUGAAUACCUUGCAUGCCUUACCUAGGGUUUUGGUAGUCCUUCAUUUAGAGGGGAAUUUCAGUCCUUGAGAAAAUUUGCCUGUAGCAAUCUGGAAAUGUUGUCCACUUGUCCCUUUGUAUAAUCUUUGGUAUGAUGAAUUAUAUAAUUUAUAAAUGGUGUGGGCUGGCACCUCUGUGUUUACACAAUGUAGUUUCGUGUCCUAUGAAUAGCAGCAACAGCCAACAGUGACACUUCUGGAUUUCAACAACUGUUAACAUCUCCUGUACUAGCAAUCAAUACUGCUUUUCAGUAUGUUGAGGGAAAACUGAGAGCCACCAUUGAAGCAGUUUACUUGCUUUAGCCUGUUCAUUGAGGUACACCUUUACUGUUCCUCUAUCAGUAUUUCCUCUUUUACAUAUUUCAUAUUUCUUUCAGUUAGUGGACAUGAGAAGAG